CAAAGAACAACAAAAACAAAAGACAAAAGUCUAUGAUAACUGAAAAAUAUUGAAUCAAAUAAAUUUACAUAUUGAAAUAUGAUCUGUUACUUCAGAGAAAUUUAACUUUUACUGAUAUUUUUACUAUCUACACUGAAAAAAGAUCCUACAUCAAUGAUAAAAAAUUUAAAGGCAAAAGAAAUGAAAGAAAAGCAGCAAGAUCCAGAAUUUCAAUAUCCCAAAGUUGCGAAGGUGACUGGAAGUUCAAAGCAAGCUGUAAAGCAAACAGUGCAAACCACUAAAGACAAAGAAGUACUUGAUGCCGAUGAGUACAUCUUGCCUCAACCAACAAGCAUCAGAAAAUCUUAGGUUUUUUCACAAACUCUACCAGUUUCAAAAUUGGUAAAAGAACAUGUAAAAGACAUCUUGCAGCACAUAUCAAAUGUGUCUGGACUCGAGGCUUUAAUCUGGACAAGUGAAUUGAAUCUCAUUACCUUUGAAAAUAUUGGAAACCAAAUAAAGGAAAAAGAAAUUGCCAAUAAUGUCAUUGAUGGCUAUGGAGAGAUCCUAUUUGCUAAUCAAAGGAGAAAAGGACAACAACCAACUUCAUUUUUUUUCACAUGCAUGAGCUUAAACUUCAUCAAGAUGACGGAAAAUCAUACUUUUCGAGUCUCAUUAUUUGACAAGCAUCUUGAAACGGCAUGGAGGAACUACAGGUUCCUCCAUUUCCUAAUAAAUACCAGGGGCAAUGAGAAGUCAACAGAUGGAAAUCACUGGACCUUGCUAGUCUUGGACAAACAAGACAAUUUAUGGAGGUUCUACAACUUACUAAGUCCAAGAAGGGAUGAUGCACAAGACAAA